UUUUAGGUGAGAAGAUACAGGUUUAUUUAU
rnacentral:piRNA from 1 species